GGUGAACGCUGGCGGUAGGCCUAACACAUGCAAGUCGAACGGCAGCACAGUAAGAGCUUGCUCUUACGGGUGGCGAGUGGCGGACGGGUGGGGAAUACAUCGGAAUCUACUUUUUCGUGGGGGAUAACGUAGGGAAACUUACGCUAAUACCGCAUACGACCUACGGGUGAAAGCAGGGGAUCUUCGGACUUUGCGCGAUGGAAUGAGCCGAUGUCGGAUUAGCUAGUUGGCGGGGUAAAGGCCCACCAAGGCGACGAUCCGUAGCUGGUCUGAGAGGAUGAUCAGCCACACUGGAACUGAGACACGGUCCAGACUCCUACGGGAGGCAGCAGUGGGGAAUAUUGGACAAUGGGCGCAAGCCUGAUCCAGCCAUACCGCGUGGGUGAAGAAGGCCUUCGGGUUGUAAAGCCCUUUUGUUGGGAAAGAAAAGCAGCAGGUUAAUACCCCGCUGUUCUGACGGUACCCAAAGAAUAAGCACCGGCUAACUUCGUG
rnacentral:rRNA from 1 species